rnacentral:rRNA from 1 species
AGAGCGAACGCUGGCGGCAGGCCUAACACAUGCAAGUCGAGCGCCCAGCAAUGGGAGCGGCAGACGGGAUAGUAACACGUGGGAACGUACCUUUCAGUUCGGAACAACCCAGGGAAACUUGGGCUAAUACCGAAUACGCCCGUAAGGGGAAAGAUUUAUCGCUGAAAGAUCGGCCCGCGUCUGAUUAGCUAGUUGGUGGGGUAAUGGCCCACCAAGGCGACGAUCAGUAGCUGGUCUGAGAGGAUGAUCAGCAUCACUGGGACUGAGACACGGCCCAGACUCCUACGGGAGGCAGCAGUGGGGAAUAUUGGACAAUGGGCGCAAGCCUGAUCCAGCCAUGCCGCGUGGAUGAUGAAGGCCCUAGGGUUGUAAAGUCCUUUCGGCGGGGAAGAUAAUGACGGUACCCGCAGAAGAAGCCCGGCUAACUUCGCGCCAGCAGCCGC